GUCAGGAUGGCCGAGUGGUCUAAGGCGCCAGACUCAAGGAAUAAACUCCUUACCCAAAAUGGGUGUUCUGGUCUCCGAAUGGAGGCGUGGGUUCGAAUCCCACUGCGUGGGUUCGAAUCCCACUUCUGACA
rfam:Xenopus tropicalis strain Nigerian Chr08_contig_986, whole genome shotgun sequence.